CGCGGCCUAUCAGCUUGUUGGUGAGAUAACAGCUCACCAAGGCGACGAUGGUUAGCCGGCCUGAGAGGGUGAUCGGCCACACUGGAACUGAGACACGGUCCAGACUCCUACGGGAGGCAGCAGUGGGGAAUCUUGCGCAAUGGGCGAAAGCCUGACGCAGCAACGCCGCGUGAGCGAUGAAGGCCUUCGGGUCGUAAAGCUCUGUCAAGUGGGAAGAACACAAUGACGGUACCACUAGAGGAAGCCCCGGCUAACUUCGUGCCAGCAGCCGCGGUAAUACGAAGGGGCAUGCGUUGUUCGGAAUUAUUGGGCGUAAAGCGUAUGUAGGUGGUCUUUCAAGUCAGACGUGUAAGCCCUCGGCUCAACCGAGGAAUUGCGUUUGAAACUGAUCGACUUGAGUGCAGGAGAGGAAAGCGGAAUUCCCAGUGUAGCGGUGAAAUGCGUUGAUAUUGGGAAGAACACCGGUGGCGAAGGCGGCUUUCUGGCCUGCUACUGACACUGAGAUACGAAAGCCAGGGGAGCAAAGGGGAUUAGAUACCCCCGUAGUCCUGGCUGUAAACGAUGGGUACCAGGUGCGGGAGGUAUUGAUCCCUUCUGUGCCGCAGCUAACGCAUUAAGUGCCCCGCCUGGGGAGUACG
rnacentral:rRNA from 1 species